rnacentral:rRNA from 1 species
UACGUAGGGUGCGAGCGUUGUCCGGAAUUACUGGGCGUAAAGAGCUCGUAGGUGGUUUGUCGCGUUGUUCGUGAAAACUCUCAGCUUAACUGUGGGCGUGCGGGCGAUACGGGCAGACUGGAGUACUGCAGGGGAGACUGGAAUUCCUGGUGUAGCGGUGGAAUGCGCAGAUAUCAGGAGGAACACCAGUGGCGAAGGCGGUUGCCUGGGGCUUUGCUGACGCUGAUGCGCGAAAGCGUGGGGAGCGAUCCGG